rnacentral:lncRNA from 1 species
GUGUUGAAAGGCCGACCCAUGACAAAGCACUCGGACAUAUUUAAUCAUCAACAACAUAAGCAAAAGCGUCAACAAAGUGAGCAGCUGAGUAGUUCAUGUGGUGCCUUAUGAACGCAUAGUAGGCACUUCACAACUGUUCUUGCAGUAGGCAUUCUAGGAUAGUUUGAGAUGGCCAAUGUUACACUCACAGACAUUUGUUUCCUUGUGGCACAGUUGAGGCAUCCACCGAGACCUGAAGCCAGGCUAGCAGUCAAGAAGGCGAUGCGCAUGGGACCCGAUUACGCUAUCGCGUUCUACUCUUGAAGACGAAGCUCAAGCGUGCUCCAAAUUUUUAUCUUCAACGCAAUAAUUGAUGGCACGUGCAUGAAGCUGUGGCCUCUGGGAAUCUGGCACUGUUCUACAAGUUGGUGGCACGCCUUCUCCGCGACAAUGGCAGCAGGCUCCUUGAAUCGUGUGACCACGUUGGGCAGACAGCACUGCACUAUGCGUGCAUGCUACGGCAGGAACUCGUAGUGGGCGUGUUGUGCGAGGCAGGUGUACAGCGGGACGUGCGAGAUAAGGACGGUGCCACAGCCAUGCACCUGGCUGCAGAGCGAGGAGGCCAUUCCUGUGUUGAGCAGUUGCUGG